rnacentral:rRNA from 1 species
CCUACGGGGAGCAGCAGUGGGGAAUAUUGGACAAUGGGCGAAAGCCUGAUCCAGCCAUGCCGCGUGUGUGAAGAAGGCCUUCGGGUUGUAAAGCACUUUCAGUGGGGAAGAAAGCCUUGGGGCUAAUACCCUCGAGGAAGGACAUCACCCACAGAAGAAGCACCGGCUAACUCCGUGCCAGCAGCCGCGGUAAUACGGAGGGUGCGAGCGUUAAUCGGAAUUACUGGGCGUAAAGCGCGCGUAGGCGGUCUGAUAAGCCGGUUGUGAAAGCCCCGGGCUCAACCUGGGAACGGCAUCCGGAACUGUCAGGCUAGAGUGCAGGAGAGGAAGGUAGAAUUCCCGGUGUAGCGGUGAAAUGCGUAGAGAUCGGGAGGAAUACCAGUGGCGAAGGCGGCCUUCUGGACUGACACUGACGCUGAGGUGCGAAAGCGUGGGUAGCAAACAGGAUUAGAUACCCUGUAGUC